rnacentral:misc_RNA from 1 species
AAGAUGGGAAAGCAGGUGCAGAUUGUAUCCGUCGGGCCAGACCACACUCUCCAACUGAAUAAAAAGGAACUGGAAAGAAUUCUACUGGCUCCCAACGUUAAGGACAAGCCUGUUGCCCUGGUGUCUAUAAUGGGCGCCUUCCGCCAGGGCAAGUCUUUCCUAAUGAACUUCCUGAUGCGGUACCUUCGCAGCCAUGACAAAACGAAUUGGAUGGGUGACGAGGACACUCCGCUCGAGGGGUUCAGCUGGAGCACAGGCACCGAGCGGAACACCAUAGGCAUACAUGUUUGGGAUGAAGUGUUCCUGGUCCGUACGCCCACAGGCGGCGAGUUGGCCGUAUUGCUGAUGGACACACAAGGGGCUUUCGACAGUGACACUUCGGCAGAUGAGACGGCCAACCUUUUUGCCCUGAGCAUUCUGACAAGCUCAGUGCAAAUUUACAAUAUUUCAAAAAACAUUCAAGAAGACCACCUCCAGCACCUUCAGCUCGUCGCGGAGUAUUGCAUGGAAACUCAAGAGAGCCCAACGGGGAGUCAGUUUCAGAAGCUUGUGUUCCUGAUUCGAGACUGGCAGUACCCGGAUGAUAACGCCUAUGGUGCCGUGGGCGGCCGCAGUCACCUAGAACAGUUCAUAUCUACGAGUACACAACAGCACCAAGACAACAAAGACCUGCGGAAGUCCCUGGAUUCUUGCUUCUCAUCACUUGACUGCUUCCUCAUGCCGCACCCGGGAAAGGAGACCACGAGGAAGGUAUUUGAUGGCAGAUUAAGCAAACUCGACGAUGAUUUCAAGCAGGAGCUGCGAGUGCUCGUACCAUGGCUCAUUGGAGCAGAACAUCUCGAUGCUAAGAGAAUUGCUGGCAAGAGAAUCACCUGCAAACAGCUGCUGGACUACUUCACGGUGUACACCAACGUUUUCAAGGAUGGGAAGCGGCCUCAUGUGGCAACAGUACUGCAGGCGACAGCGGAAGAAAGCAACCGGAAUGCCAAGGAGGAAGCAAAGACAUUCUAUGUAGAGCAAAUCCAAAAUGUUAGUGGUCAUAUACGACAGCAUUCAAGAGCUGGAGGAAAUCCACGAGAGCCUGCUGCAAAUAUCAAGGGAUAUAUUUAGAGCAGCUCGAAAGACAGGCGGUGAAGACGUCAAAAAGCGAUACUUGGACAUGCUCGAAAAGGAAAUCACGGUGAUAUUCAAUUGCCUUCGUCACGAGCAGAAAGCGUCCGAGUUAGAAAAAAUGGUCACUGAAAUGACUGCGACUGCCGGCGAGCUUUCCCAAAAGCGCAAGGAGGUGCACGAGAAGGAGAUGG